CUUGUUUCUUUGAUGUACCGUUGAUAAUUUAUUAUAUCAUGAAUAUUGUAACUCUUUUAGUUUUUUAAUGUAUCGAGAUAAUUUGUUAAAAGUCUUUUCCAGCCAUACUCGCAAGUUUAUUAGAACCCCUAACGAUUUGUUAGGGUCAAAAUAUGUUAUGAUCAAAAUAAAAUUACAAAAUUUAUAUAAUGUAGGUACAUGAUAUAAAAAAAAAAAAAGGUCAGGGACAAUUUAUUAUUUUACUGAUUAUAAUUAUUGUUAUUUAAUUCUAAUAAUAAUUAUAUAGGCCGACGUCACGGAUUAAGAAUUAAAUCAAUCGAAUUUCGCUCAAACUCAGUUCGUGGAAUUUUGUGAACAUUUGAACGAUUUAAUAUCCAUACGUUUUAAAUUUUUGAAUUUUGAUACAUGUCCAAUGAACCACCAAAUAUUAUCGAUUCGAUCUUUCUACGAUUUUCCCGGUUUUUUCAGGUUUUUUCCCAGUUCUUCCCAUUUAUUGGAAAAAAAUCGUGGAAAAAUCGAAAAAUGACCUUCUUAUAGUACCACCCCAAUACGAUUUGCUUUCAGGAAAAGUGCUACACUUCAAAAUCGGAACAAGAUUUCUGGUAAAAUAGAUGUCCACAGAAAAAAAAAUACAAACAUCUAUGUAAAACCGUAAGCUUUUUCGUUUCACUCAGAAUCUAAAAUAAAAUUGAAAACAAUAAAACCAUUAUUUUUCCGUUCAUUCUACGUUUUUUUUUGAUUUUGCACAAUUAUUAAAUUGGUCUGUUGACGCGUUGGUCUGUCAAAUGGAGUUUUCUGUGAAAAGCUAUAGUAUAUUUUUUCACGCGUGAUAAUAACAAUAACAACUUCUAGAUAUUGUAAUUUACCCUGUUUUUCCCCCUUUAUUUUGUUUUCAAAAAACGUUAGAAAAACAAAACGUUUUUCAUAUGAAUAAGGAAAAAAUAAAUCAUGCAGGCCGCCAUCUGCCCGAGAGUUAUAAUUUUUAGAAUAUACACAUUACACAUAGUAAACAGCGGUAUAAUAACGCUAUAAAAUUGGUAUACGGAUUUCAACUCAAAGUUGUAUAUGUCCGUUUAACUGCUCUAGGAAAAUGUUAUUCUUCCAAGUAGGUAGAUACAUAACAGUACGAUUUACGAAUAAGUGAAAUAGUUCAAGAGUGAAACUUUUAAAUCGCGUUUUUCGCAAAGACUCGCAAAAUCCGAACCCAACAGUAUUGAUUAUAAAGAGCUAGCCGCCUUAAUCCUUUGACACACCAUUAGAAGGCGUGUUGAAUUGUAUAAUAACCUUUGCCUUAUCUGGCCAAUCAGAGAACUCCAUUUUCGCCAGUGACUCGUUUCACGUAUGGGAAACGUUUAUACGCAUUCGUGAAACGGUUUCCGGAAUGUCAUUAUUGCCCGCGGUCGAAUUAUAUUACAAUGUGCAGUGACGCGGAAAAGAAUGCACGUCAAGUCAGCGUGUUGUAAAACUACAAUAAUAUAUUAUAGGUACCGUGUGUCCGAAUCAAAAGUGUAAAGGCAUAAAGGCCGUAAAGGAUCUCGAGUACCCUGCAGAGUAGCGUAAAGUCUUAUAGUGCCUUUGUGUUAUCGCGAGUCCGCAAAGUCGUCGUCCGGGGAUCGUCUUUUGGGAUUUUGUCGUUUAAACGGACGACGACGGUGGUCCGACAGAUAACAUAUUUCGCAAAUGUUUGGUACCUUAUCAUACAGAUUCACAUGCAUUUUGAUGAUAUGCAAAUGAAUCAUCCCGGGGUUAAUUAUAAUACCGCGUAGUUUUCUUCGAAUACGAUUUAGGUUUACACUAUUAGAAGACCAAGAUACUCGGCACAUUAUUAGUUUUGGACCGACAGGUGGAUUAAGUUUUGUAAUUAUUUCUCAUCUGCUUUAUCUAAACCCGUGGUAGUUUUUCAUGGACUCAUCAAUAGGUCUUAGACAUACACUUAGGGCGCUGAAUUCUUCAGAGCAGUAUCGGAUUUAGACGAACAG
rnacentral:lncRNA from 1 species